GAGUUUGAUCCUGGCUCAGAGUGAACGCUGGCGGUAGGCCUAACACAUGCAAGUCGAACGGCAGCACAGGAGAGCUUGCUCUCUGGGUGGCGAGUGGCGGACGGGUGAGGAAUACAUCGGAAUCUACUCUGUCGUGGGGGAUAACGUAGGGAAACUUACGCUAAUACCGCAUACGACCUACGGGUGAAAGUGGGGGACCGCAAGGCCUCACGCGAUUGAAUGAGCCGAUGUCGGAUUAGCUAGUUGGCGGGGUAAAGGCCCACCAAGGCGACGAUCCGUAGCUGGUCUGAGAGGAUGAUCAGCCACACUGGAACUGAGACACGGUCCAGACUCCUACGGGAGGCAGCAGUGGGGAAUAUUGGACAAUGGGGGCAACCCUGAUCCAGCCAUGCCGCGUGUGUGAAGAAGGCCUUCGGUUGUAAG
rnacentral:rRNA from 1 species